rnacentral:lncRNA from 1 species
UUUCUUUAUUUUAUAACUUAUGGAUUUAAUUAUGGUUACAUAUUUUUCUUUAAUGAAGUGACUCUUGAACUUCCAUAACUUGAGGACAAGUUAUGGAGUCAAAAAAAAUUAUUCAAUGACACAAGACUCUUCAUUUUGUAACCAUUGCCAACUUUUAUGAGUUUUAUGAGUCUUUAAUGUGACUCUUCAUGUAACUUGAGGACAAGUUACACAAACACAUUUUAUACUCAACUCUUAGAUUAAAAUGGAUUGAAAACAACUAUUUCACUCAACAUUUCUAUUAAUCUAAGCAACUCAUAAGAACAAGAUAAUUCAAAUCAAACUUUUUCAUGUAAUUAGUCUAAACCUUAAACUAAUACAAAACAUGAAUCUAUUGACAAUUAUCUUUGAAAAUGGAUUAGCAUGAACAUUACCACAUCAAAAACAAGUUUAUAAGUUCAAAAACAACUUAGGGUAAUGUUCCUAGUCCAUUUCUAGCCAAAAAACUCGAAAAUAUGCUGUCUGGGGGUCCAACUCGUCGAGUGCAUGAACAAACUCGGCGAGUUGGAUCGAAUUCAUCACUUUUUAGGCAUGGACUCGUCGAGUCUCCUGAUGGACUCGCCGAGUCUGAUGGCCAGACAGCACCAGAUUCGUUUUUUCAGCUUCUAUUGCAGGUAUAACAAGAAAACAAGCCUAGGCUCUGAUACCACUGUUGGGUUUUGAGCAUUCUAACACUCCUAAGUGUACAUGCAACCCUAAAUACCUUGGAUCUAUGUUUUCUCUAUUAUACAUGCAAAUAAGAACUUCCAAGGUAUUAUCCUAAUCUAGCAUACAAAACAAUGACUAUAACAAGAUAGAAUACAUACCUCUUUGAUGUAGAAAGUCUUCAUGAAGCUUGAGUGCCUAGUGCCCCAAGUGUGACACCUCAAAUGGAAUCACAAUCAUCAAAACACUUGGAAUGACUUGAGAGAAUUCUACACUCUUCAAAAUCGGCUAGCCCUUUCUUCACUAUCACUAGUGGCCGAUUUUUCCUCAAUAAUAAGAUGCUUAUAUAGUUACACAAUUAGGGUAAACUCUUAAUUGUCAUGGCUUUCCAUUUCCUUGGAUCCAUGGGUACAAAUACACCAUGGAGCAUCCAUGGACCAUCCUAUGGGUUUUAGCCCAACUUGAUUAUCCAUGGAGCAUUAGCCCACUAUACAAGUAUGGAUGAUUUACACAAUCAACCCAUAUAUUUAAUUAGUCUUCUUUUGAUCACUUAAUUAAUCCUAGAUUAAUUCUUGAUCAAUACUAAUUAAAUAAUCUUAUUAUUCUUAUUAUUAAUAUACUAGAACUUAUAAUAUAUUAAUAACCAUAAGUGUCUUAUUUCUCUCAUUAUAGUCUAUCCAAGUGCAUGAUGGUAUGCAACCCAAAUGGACCAUGCCGGGUCGGGUCAAGUCUUACCAAUUAUAGUUAUGGACUUAGACAUUAAUCCAACAGUCUCCCACUUGGAUAAGUCUAAAACUAUUAUUGCGUAUGACUUCAGGAACCAACUGGCAAUCGUAGCUCUCAAAAGCUUCUGUCGAACUCUGACCUUGUAGAUGAACUCUGACCUUUGUCAAUGACUUGUCCAUUAGAUAAGGGAUCAUAUAUUCCUCCAUUCUAGAUAUCAUAUGGACUGAGACAUGGAUUAUAAUCAUUCUCUCUGUCCAUUUGUUGUUUCCCGAUUUCCGAUUUAUGACGACUGACUAAUUGAACAAAUCAAAUCAGUCCUGGCCCGGCCGAGCACUUCCAUUUGUCAUCAUCAAAUCAUCGAGGGGCCCACAGAUAUCGCUUUUAUCCCGAAGGUAAAAGGAAUGGAUAAACUUCGACUCAUAUGGCUUGUUCUACUACUUGUUGAAUCAUACACAAAGGCACGUUUUAUAGCACCGAGUUACCAAAUGCGUUUUCGUGCAAUCAAUGUACUAUCAACUCAUAGUAACAACUCAUAUCUCUAGGUUUGAAGAAUAUAAGAUAUUAUCGUCUCAUGAUCACUCGUGAUAAAAUCCAUGAAGUGAUUCCAAUGAGCGCGGGUUGAAUCCAAUACUCAGAACUUAUGAGCACUCAUGAGUGUUGUAGCCCUUUGUCCAACACCUUAGACCUCUACAAGCCAACCCAUGACAGUCUUAAUUCAUAUCUACUUCCAACAUAUGACCGACUGUGGAUGGUUUGAAUAACUUAGUCAUUCCGGAAGAAUAACCCAGUUUAUUCGGGAAGUCAAAACAUGCAAAAUGAAACACAAUAAUAAUUGAAUCCAAUAUGGUAUCAACCCUUUGAACAUAAAUAAAACACCUUUUAUUUAUCACCAUAUGAUUACACAUUAUUCAUUGUAUACUGUUUCAGCUAUCAACUUUAUUCUUGAAUUUAAAACAAUAGUUGUCCCAUGCUCCAAGCAUGUACACUAUGUUUUCUUAAACACUAGUCAUGCCACACACCAAGUAUGCAUACUAUGUUUGUCUAUGAUCUUUACUUUGUGAACUAGAUCAAUUGAACAUAACUUCAAUGAUUCUCUUUUCACACUCCCAAAUCCUUACUGCAAAUGCAAGAAUUCCAAAUUCAUGCCAUUUACUGAAAUCUGUUAGAUUCUAAACUUAUAUGCAUUGAUCCUCUUGUAAUGAUUAUGCACAAAGUCACAAAGACUUGGCAACAAUCAUUACAGAGUAUUCCAAAGGAGAUCAACUCCUUGGAAAUAUCCUUCUUGCAUUAAGUUUCCUUAAUCUUACACAGAUUGAAAAUUCUAACUUUGAAACAUUUCCAGAUUCCAUUUUGACUAUCACUUCUGAACAAGAGUUGCCUCCUUACAGAUUAUGUCAAUAUGGUCCUUCCAGAAUUAUCACUAUACUUCCAAUUGUCCUUGAGUAACCAAUCUUUGGUAAACCUUAGAUUGUCCUCGACAAUUGUUUAAUCCUUUUAGUCAUAUCCAGUUCUAAACCUUUUCCCUUCUUAAUGCCCCAGGCAUUUGGAAAAUUUUAGAACGGAUGAAUAUAGCACAUGUAAUCGAUCCUAUAUCCGAAGCAUAUGGGACACGAUUCAUGAUGUCUUACAUAAAGACUAAACCAGUCUUUUGCUAUAAUAUUUCCAUUUCAAUUUGCCAAGUUCUCAUAAUUCAGAUUAUGAAAAGGGAUGCCGUAAUCAUAAUCGAAUUUUAGAACGCAAAUAAUGGACCCAUAUACAGAAUUUCCUUAUGUUGAGCCAUUCCAACAUGAAAUUCAUAUAUAUCCUUGACUAAAUGAUUAAAACCUCACGAUCUAAGCUUAUAGAUUUGAGAUGAAGCAUAAUUUCCUCUCCCUUAAUUAUAGCAAAACAACUUUUUCCCAAUUGAAACUUUUGUUUUCUAUAAUUAACAUUGCUAACUUGCAAUACUUAUCAUAAUUAUCAUGCUCCCACUAACAUGAUGAUUAUUAGCAUAACACUUAUGCUCCCACUAGCUUUGACAUGUACUCAGAAAUCAGCUGGACAGUCUGAAAUUUAGAUUCAUACACCCUUUCCGUAGAUAGCUCACCUGUGUGUCUAAGCAAUUUCAAGAACCAUGAAAAGGGAUACCGUAAUCAUGGUCUCAAUUGCUUAGGCAUUUGCCAUUUCUCACAAGUCCAUGUUAGUGUGCCGGUUAACCACACGCGCUCCACUAACGACUUUUGAAAAUGCAAAUAACACAAUUGAUAUCUUCGUAAAAUCUACUUAGUGAAAGCGUUUCCUCACCAUCAUUUUCAUGAAUCGGAGAGAAACCUUAUGACACUUAGAUUUAUAUGGUGUAUGAGUUCCUACCCAUAUGAAUUUGUCAAACCAUAAUCACAAGACAAAGAUAAUGACAAAUCCAAAACCAUAUGGAUUGAACUCAAUCUUAACUUCUUGCCACCUGGCAGCUCAAGGGCCUGCCAUUGCUUCCAAGUUGUUAUGCAACAAACUGAGAACUCUAAGAACUCAUAUGCAAAGCCAACUUUAACUGGAAUGGGCACAGAUAUGUCAACACGAUAGGUUAUAAACCUCAAGUCGUGUGCUAGUGAAGAACUUUAGGUUUUAUUCUUGAUUAUUUCUUGAGACUUUCAAGACCUUUAAGACUCCCACUGUCCUCUUGACAUAUAAGACUCCCUUGUCAAACAUCCAAGAGAUAGUGCGGAUUCUAAUCAAGAAAAACACUUUACCCAAUUGGCCUAAGUUGGUCUUUGUUUUAUCCAAAACAUCACAACUUACCAAUUUCAAAUGUACAAGAGUAGAAAACUUUUACUCUUACAUUUGACAAGUGUUUUAAACCUUCUUUAAGACAUGUCACUCAAAUGACAAUCUUGGAGUAUGACUCUAAGACUUGUAUUGGAACGAAGUAUGACUCAUCUUCUUGAUUUAACCAUUUCAACAAUUCAAGUUCCUCUUCUUAGUCAUAAGAAUGCACUAAGAUUUCCUUAGAGAACUAAUUUUGAUAUGGUUUCUUAAUCAUUAAGAUGAUCACAAAACUGAUACUAAAGUACUCUCCCAUCUUUUCAGAUUUGAGAAACUUUUAUCCUUCUGCCUUAUUUGAUUCUUCUUAUCGAUCUUUAGUGGUGGACUUAAUCAGUGCACAAGAAUGUGUACUCGAUCCCUAAGUCCUUUACUUGACUCACACAUCCAUGUGAACAAGUAAUUAGUCUUAAUUUUCCAAAACUUGAAAGUUCUCAUUCAUCAUGCUAUACAACUUGCAUGAUUCCAAGUUCCGGUCCAAUUGAAACUUGGGUGAUGAGAAUCUUUCCUUAUUUGGUAAAUCUAGACAUUACCACAAAUGAAAGAAUCAAUUUCAUAUUUCCACUCUUGCUCUUAAUGGAAUCAUAUAAGCAACAAUUUUUCCUCAAAAGCCAUUGUAAGGAUAUUUUAAAAUAAAUAAAAUCAAAAAAAUUUUCUUUUAUUUUAAAACUUUGCGGAAAAACUUAUCCUUACAAUCCAUAUGAAAACUUGUUGUUAUCUAUUCCUAAGCAAUAUCUCAUAACUCCUAAGAAGUAGCUCAAGAAUCCGAUCUUCAAACUAUGCGAUAGAAAUCCAUCUACGCCAUCAGAUUCAGCAUAUUCUUUCUUUAAGUUUCUUCACUUUUCUUUGAUUCUUAAAACAUCACCAUGUGACCCAGUCACAUCAUGUAUCAAGAAUCUCAGAAUAGAAACUUAACAGAGUUAGAUAGUGGACUUUACCUGAAGUAGAGUCAAACUUAUUGACUUUAACAUCCUUAGGUAAAUUUGGCAGCUUCGCAACCAAUGCCCCUUCCUUUGGCAAUAUAAACAUAUGGACCCUUUGAUAAUGGUACACGGGACUAUCACAGACUUAGCUUUUCUCUUUACCAUUUGGUCAACCGAGUUGACUAUGGCCGAUCCCUUUCCAUUGGGAAGAGAAUGCUUUACUGGAUAUCCAAUGUCAUCAUUGUCAAUGUCCAUAAAGUUUUAGGAAGUUGAUCUUAGCAAAUAGAUAAGAUCAUUAAGGGUCUUGUCAUAGUCUGUUUCAUAGGUGUCCCAAAGGAACUCACUAUGUGACUUAGAAAGUGAUUGAACCACCAACUUUCUCAAGACUUUGACACCCAACUCUCCCGGCUUGUCAAUAUGUGACUACAUCUCCAAGAUGUGACCACACCUAGACCUUGCCUUGCCAAUAGGGCCUGAGUGACCUUAAACUUUUCAAGAACUUGUGGGUUAGGGAGAAUAAUUUGAAGAGGUGAAGAAGUAUGAUAUCCAUGGGACAUCAUCUUCAUUAGGAAACCUUGUUUCAAGAGAUUUGGGAAGAUCAUAGGUGUCUAAACCAGACAUCUUUUGGGAGAUAUUCAAGAUAGUUGAUUUAAAGUCCUUAAUAUGACACCCAAUAUGAAAUAUUAAGGCUAGGACCCAACAAACUAUUUUAUAACUUAGAAGAGGUAUGCCGUAAUCCAAGCUAUAAAAUAUUUGAAGGUAGGUGAAUGACGAUUCACCAAUUUCCACCAAGAUAAACGAAAUGUAUUAUUAGGUUUUAAUUGGUUUUGAAACUCCUAGAUCUUUGAGAUUCAUUGAACUUUUCAAAGGCAUGUUUCAAUCUCGAGUGUGCCCUUCAGGUUUUGUGACUGGGAUGCCGAGGAUCACAAAACAAGGUGUGAAGUAACCAUGCAAAUCACUUGGUACCCUUAAUAAAUUACCCCUCAAUCGAUGUGCCGGUUAACCACACACGCUCCAUCGAUACUAUGAUAAAUAUUAAGUCACCCUUUACCUACCUUGUUAAGUCCAAGUUAGUGUGCCGGUUAACCACACACGCUCCACUAACGACUUAGACAAAGUGUAAAGUGUAAUUUCAUGGAUUAGCACCUUAUUCACAUUUUUCCUAAGUAACUAAGAUUGGGUAUUAUUAAGAGUUUAGUUACUUAGUAUUAUCAUUAAUACUUUUAAUGAAGGGAGAAUUCUAGUCCUGUCAAACCCGUUCGGCUAACGACCCUCCACCAGUCAAGCAAGCGGUGGGUGAGAGUGGACACCCAUUAAGUUGCCAUUUUAUAGGCAACAACCUUAUACCCACCUUAUAGACCGGCUUCGUGAAUGAGGCGUACUAGCGGUAAGACUGACUUUACUCUUAUACAUAUAUAUAUUAUUAACUUAUAAUAUUAUAAAGUAUAAGGGUUGAAUUUUAACUUUUAAAAUUCUAAGGGCUAACUUGGAAUUAAAGUAUUCAUAAGUGAAAACUUUACAAAUUCCAAAACUUGAGGGCAAGUUUUGAAACUAUUCAAAACUAAUUAAUUCCAUAACUUAUGUGUUUAAAGUAGUUUUAAUCCAAAAACUCUUCAAGUUCCAUAACUUGAGGACAAGUUAUGGAAGACUUUAAACUAAUAAAAGAAUGUAACUUUUCUUUAUUUGUAACAUAUGGAAUUAAUUAAGGUUACACAUUUUAAUGAUUUAAUGAAGUGACUCUUGAACCUCCAUAACUUGAGGACAAGUUAUGGAGUCAUCAAAGCAUUCAAUGAAAACAAAACUCUUCAUUUUUGUAACCUAUUAACUUUUAUGAGUUUUAAGAUUCAUAAAUGUGACUUUUAAGUUACAUAAACACAUUUUAUGAACUUCUUUUGGAUUAAUUUGGAUUAAAACCAACUAUCACAUAAUUUUUUUCAUUAAUCUAAAUUCACUCAUAAAACAAGGUAACACAAAAAACUUUUGGUGAUCCAUAACUUAUUCUUAAGUUAUGGACUUCUUUAAAACAUUAACACCAAAUUUUGUAACUCCAUAAAAACUUUGAGUCAAAAAAAAAAAUUUUAAAACCUUUUCAUAUCCAUAACUUAUGGAGGUUUCAAAAAAUAAAACUCUUUAAAUCAAACUUUUAAAGCUAAUAAAAUAAUCAUAUCAUUUUAUCUUUUACUAAAUUUGACCUAAUUCAACUCAUAUAGCAAAUUAUUCAAAUUUUACAAAUAAUUAGUUUUUCACAAGAACAAGUAAUUAUCUUAAAAUUUGACAAACUUCAUGUUUUUUUUUCCUUUUUUUUCAACUUUGAAAAUAAAAUAUUUGCAU